GAUGAACGCUGGCGGCGUGCCUAAUACAUGCAAGUCGAGCGAACAGAUGAGGAGCUUGCUCCUCUGACGUUAGCGGCGGACGGGUGAGUAACACGUGGAUAACCUACCUAUAAGACUGGGAUAACUUCGGGAAACCGGAGCUAAUACCGGAUAAUCUAUUGAACCGCAUGGUUCAAUAGUGAAAGACGGUUUUGCUGUCACUUAUAGAUGGAUCCGCGCCGCAUUAGCUAGUUGGUAAGGUAACGGGUUACCAAGGCAACGAUGCGUAGCCGACCUGAGAGGGUGAUAGGCCACACUGGAACUGAGACACGGUCCAGACUCCUACGGGAGGCAGCAGUAGGGAAUCUUCCGCAAUGGGCGAAAGCCUGACGGAGCAACGCCGCGUGAGUGAUGAAGGUCUUCGGAUCGUAAAACUCUGUUAUUAGGGAAGAACAAAUGUGUAAGUAACUAUGCACGUCUUGACGGUACCUAAUCAGAAAGCCACGGCUAACUACGUG
rnacentral:rRNA from 1 species